GUGGUUUAAUUCGAUGCAACGCGAAGAACCUUACCUAGGCUUGACAGUCCCUGGAAUUUGUGGAAACACAAAGUGCCUUUCGGGGAACCAGGAGACAGGUGCUGCAUGGCUGUCGUCAGCUCGUGUCGUGAGAUGUUGGGUUAAGUCCCGCAACGAGCGCAACCCUUAUCUUUAAUUGCCAGCAUUCAGUUGGGCACUUUAAAGAGACUGCCGGUGUUAAACCGGAGGAAGGUGGGGAUGACGUCAAGUCAGCAUGGCCUUUAUGUCCUGGGCUACACACACGCUACAAUGGCCAACACAAUAGGUUGCUAAGCCGCGAGGUGGAGCCAAUACCUCAAAGUUAGGUCUCAGUUCAGAUUGCAGGCUGCAACCCGCCUGCAUGAAGAUGGAGUUGCUAGUAACCGCAGGUCAGCUAUACUGCGGUGAAUACGUUCCCGGGGCUU
rnacentral:rRNA from 1 species